AGAGAAAUUGCUGGAUCAUAUGGUAACUCUAUAUGAUUUUGGGGAACUGCCAAACUCUUCCCAAAGUGGCUGUACCAUUUUACAUUACUAGCAGUAAU
rnacentral:pre_miRNA from 1 species